rnacentral:ribozyme from 1 species
GCCAACCUAAUCUUCCUUUCUUUUCUUUAACUUUUCCAAAAUGGCUGAAAACGAAAUAGAAAAGGAACAAAAGCAUAACUUCCGUCGCAACUUUCU